AGGUGGGGUGUCUAACUACCGCUCAGCAUAUGAGUGAGGAAAGUCCGUCCACUUAAAAUCGGUCGCUUAACUCGAAAGUUUUAAGUCGGAGAAAUCCGAGGCAACCGCUCAGAAACGAAACGGCCUUUCUCGAGCUAUGAUGUCUGUGAAGGCUCUCGCGAGGGAGCUGAGAUAACCAGUUGAGCUGUUACAGGAAGGAUUCGGUGAAACGGCGAGUCCCGAUUGGUGCAAGUUCCGUUAGGGACGCUUAGUUGAAUGUUAGAACAACCCUUCCGUUCCGAGCGAAGGCUUGGACGAAUUCAUGAAUAAUGGGUUUGAGUGCACUCGCUUCUUGCGAGAUGUGCAAGGGGGUUGACAGAAGACGGCUUAUACUCCUCCU
rnacentral:RNase_P_RNA from 1 species